rnacentral:snRNA from 1 species
GGGUUUGGGUAAGAGCUGUGACAUCUGCCACCCAAUGGGUCACCAGGGUUGACGCAGCUGCUCUGGGUGGCUAGCCGGCUGAUCCCUUCUCUUCCCCAUCACUUCGUGUAUCCCUCUCCUGAAGCAGCAUGCUAAGCAAGGAAGCUAACCUUCUGCUAUGGAGAGGAACCAUUCUUCUGUCAAUGGAACAUGAGAAGCUGCACUUCCCUGCUAGAACCAACUAACAGUCUCUCAAAAGCCAAACACGGAACGAUUGCUUGGUGGAGAGGGGUUCCAUUAGGUUCCUUUAUCAAUCUGUCAGUUCCUUCAUGGAAAUUGAAAUCAGAC